AUAGAGAGCAAACAAGUAACAACUAAAAACAAAAAAUAUCACACUCGUCAAAAAAUUGGAAAUUCUAAAUUUAAAAAAUUUUUGUAAAAGUUUUAUUUUAUAUCCAUUCAUAUAGAAUGGAAACACCAAAAUUCAUACGUCUAUUGCGAUAUUGAAUUGCGAGCCACGAGCAGACAGGUCUAUCAUCAGCUCACGUCUGAUCCGCAAGUUGAUUAUUAUUCUGCUUCCUACUGAA